ACACUACAACAGGAGAGGGAGCAAGCGCGAGAGGAUAUUAGAAGAGAGGCUUGUCUCCAAGAUAUGGAAGGAAGUGAGAAAUGACAGGGCUGCAAGCUUUGUAUGUAGGAGCCCGGCAGGGCGGGGGAGCGGCGAGGAGAGCCAAGUGGAUUCUCAGAAAAGGGGGGAAGCCAUCGAAGAGCUAAAGGUGAUUAGAGGGGGAUAUUGAUUUCUUAUUCUGCCAGAGAUUUAAGCAGGCAUGCGAGGAAUCUGCACCAUGGUUGGCAAAAAGAGACCCGUUGCCUCCUGUAACCAGACACUCAGGCUUUCCAGGAGCCCAGGGAGCAAGCCGAGAAGAAAGGGGGCAGUGUGGUCUAGGAAAAUUCAACUUGUCGCUGAUUUGUGCCUGAUGCCUGCUGUCCGUCAGCAGCCUCCCUUACAAUCUUUUUUUCUCUCUCUCCUUUUUUUUUCCUUGCCUUCUCCUUCUUCACUGAAGCCUAGGGGAGCCAGUAAAGAUUAAAUGUGCUUCUCAAAGGCAGCCACUUCAUGCUGCUAUGUCGAAAGGGCCAUUAUUAUUAUUAUAUUUUAAUGGUAAAAGAGAAAAGGAGAGAGGUUGAGCGAGCGAGAGAGAAGCUAGGUGUGAUGAUGACAGACUAGCUUUUCUGAGAGGAAAAGGAAAAGGGAAGGGAGAGAAAAAGGAGAGCCUCUGAGCUCAACGGAGGAUUGUGCCUGAGAAGAACCCACAGAGCUGGUCCUAUAGUACCCCUCCUCAGGAAUGUCUCCCCAGUGCAAGGACAAAGACUGAAGAGACUGCUAUAUUGAUGGACUCUCAAGCCAACUAUGAAGUUGAAACAAAGAAAGUGAUCACCUGAAGACACCUCCUCUGCUAAGAAACACCCCCAAAUUGUGCAGCUUCUGCCACUAGAACUCUCAGAACAAGAGACAAUCUUUUCAAGAAACAGAAAAACUCAAUAAUGACAUCUAGAUUUUCAUGAGCCAAGAACUUUCCCUUCCUCAUGUGUAUUCCUCUGUUUGUACUUAAAUUCAUGUGACAUUCAUUUUUUUCCUAGUAUGGAUAUGCUUAUUAAUGCACUUGUUUCAAAAUCCCAAAUUGCACAAAUGUGUUAAUAUUUUAAGAAACAAAAUGAAUCCUACAAGGAGAAUGAUUUUUAGCCACACAUAGGGUUGGAUCUUGAGAGUGACCUACAGAAUAAAAGUACUUUUAAAAUAAAGUAGUCAGAGGCUAUUCAAAGGGUAAAAUAAUCAUAGUACCACAUUGGUCCACUUGACACUAACCAAUCGAUCAUUUUUUUUUAAUCAAGAAAGCUAGAUUCUAUCAGAUAAAAUCACUGCUUCUAAAGAGUUUAAAUCUAGUUAGAAAAAGUUAUAGAAAUGUUUGCAAAGAUAAGUAACAGAUAGAGUCAGUAGAGGAUAAGAUCAAAAACAAAACCAAGCAAAAGAUGAGUUCAGGGGAGUUUGCCAUCAAGUUGGCAAAACUGACUUACUUAGGGAAGAAAGUUAUAAAACAGGAAAAUAUGAGAUGAACCUUGAGUGAUGUGGAAGAUUUAGAUAAAUGGAAAGGAAGGAGAAAAUGGAGUUCUUUAGGUGGUUGUAAUUGGAGGAGGAAAUGAAUACACACAUCUUGUUGACUUAAACCCAGACAUUCAGCAGCUCUCUAUACAUAUCUGGAAAAGACUGCACAGUCACCUCCUGUCUCUCACCCCAGGUAUUACUUAGAAUUAUUAUCAUAUUUCCCUUCCUUUAAAGUAAGUAAGGGUGAUUGGUGACAAUAUGGAGAACUAUGAUUUUUCCAUUAACCUAAUAAUAAUUGGUAUUUAUUGAGUUCUGUUAAGCAUUUUACAUAUUAACUCACUUAAGCCUUUCAACAGCCUUGCAAAAUAGGUAUUAUUAUCCCCAUUUUACAGGCAAGAAAACUGAGGUUUAAGUAACUUGCCGAAGUGCCAUAUACAGGGCUCACAUUCAGUAUUGCAGUUGCAAAGCUCAUGAUCUAUAGUGCCAAGUUGCAAUAUUGUAGUCAAUGUCACAAUUAUUACCCCUUUUUAUAUUCCUUGAUAUUUUUCCAUGGCAAACAAUUAGCUAUUUCAUUUAAUAAUCACCUAAAACUUUUCAGUCUUCUGAUUAAAAUUACGCUGGAGUGAUAGAAUGUAUUUUCAUGAUAGAAAUUGGGAAAAAAAAUGGGGAAUGAAGUUUAUCAGCAUUUCAGACUUGUUUUUUUUUUUUUUUUUUGCAAGACUUUGAUGAGAUUGUUCACUUUUGUCUAUGUAAAAUCCCAAAUCCUUGAGAAUAAAAAAGGGGGAGGUUUAAGUCACUUGUUGCAAUGCCCUUUUUAAUAGAGGCAAUAAAUCUAAAGGCCAUAAAUUUAGAGUGACUUACAGAAGAUCGAACUUUGGAGUGUGGCAGAGUAAGGGAUGGAAACCGGGCCCUCCAGUUCACUAUCAGUAGCUUUUGCACUGGUCUGCCCUUCCUAAAUUAAGUAUGCACUUCAAUUUGAUGAGUGGAAACAGUCUAUCUGGGCAGUAACCAGGGAGCUUUGUGCCUAGUAGAUUGCUUCUGUUCUGCACUUCUUUGGUUUCCCACCUCAAUGUAAAAAAUAGCUAGCAAUGAAGUCCAGAAGUUGUCAAUGGUUCAUCCCCAGAAGAAUGCAUAAUGUCCAAAGUUGUAUGUGUAUGAUGUCUUCAAUGGUAUUAAGUUAUUUCAAAUUCUUAGUUCACCUACAUAAAUCAUUUCUAACAAGCAUCUUCUUAACCAACUUUAUGCACAGUGUAUGUUUGUAAGUGCUUCUGCACGAAUGUUUAUACAUGACUGUUUCCAUAGUACUUAUGUUUUUAAAAAUAUUCAGUCAUUUCCUACUAUAAUCCUCAUGUAUCCAUGUAACUGACUCAAAAAUACUUCAGCCACAGAAAGCUAAAACUGAGCAAAUCUCAUUCUUCUUUUCCAUCCCCUUUGCAUGUGGCUGGCAUUUAGUAAUGAUUAAUAAUAUGGCCAGCUGAAUAACAGAGGUUUGAGACACAAUUCUUUCUCAAAGGAGUCAGCUAAGCUGGGUCUACUUAUGGACAAACAUCUAAAUGUGUGGAAGUAUCUGAUAUUUGACAAUGGUAAAUUUCCACUUAGCUAGCUAGCAUUGUCAGACUUCAAUCUCCUCAUGGCUCUGGCCGUCCUGUUUUAAGCAUGAUAAUUGUUGGCCACAUCUCACAUAGUUCUCAUUGAGUGAGUUCAUAAAUAAACAGGGUUUUUUUUUUUUUUUAAAGAGCAGCCAAGCACAAAGUGUGACUUUGUUGACAUUUUAUGUGACUUUGUCAUAUGUUCCUAACCCCCAAUAAAAGCAAUGUUGCAUCA
rnacentral:lncRNA from 1 species